UGUGUAAAGAAACACAUGGUCUCAGCCUGAAAUUAAAAGGAAGGGGCAUACUUGGGCAAGCAUGUGUGCUUUUGAGCAAAGAUUGGAAGAAUGGAAACAGCCUCCAAAAGUCAUAUAGGGAUGGCACAUACAGCUGCUUUUGGACCUUACAGAGAAGAGAUGCAAGGCUGAAAGAGGAGGAUUGGAGCAGAGGGCUACAUUCCAGCAAGCUGUCUAUCAACAGGUAGAAAGAGUUGGCAGCAAAUUUAAUCACCGGAGCAUGAUAAGAUAAUAAGUGUUCCCAUCCUGUUGCUUGGAUACCAUGGCAUUAAUAUUCUGGAAGUAAUGAAACAGAGGGAACAAGUGGGUUUUCCCCCUACGGUAAGAACUGCAUCUGAUGAAACUUUUACUUUCUAUUAUUUUAGUGUAAAACACACUUAGAUUUCUUUACCUUACACAACAGCAGUUAAUGUGUAACUAGACCAAUGGAACUAGGGUUUCUAUGUAACUGAGUGGACAUUUUGCCAGGCACAAACAGCUAAUUUUUUACACUCAUCUGGAAGAAUAUUUUGAAGGCCAUUAAAAUAUGCAUAAGAGAUUGUAUUGUUAAACAAGUUAAAACAUUACAUAAGCAGUAUAACUACUUAUUUAUUAUUAGACAUCUCAGAAACCUUAUGGGAUAACUUAAACAUAUCCUUCUCUAAGUAAAAGAUGCCAUAAUGAAAAUUCUAAAACUCGAUUAUCCCACAUAAGACUAUCUCUUUUUAGCUUCAUUCCAUUUGAAUAGCUAAAACAUAGUUUGAAACACAGUACAGUUUAGGAUUGGGAUAGAUGAGGGCAGGACAUAUGGCUCAUGAAGAAACCAUAAUAGUAAACUCUUUACUUCUUUUUUCUCUAACAGAAGUGGGAGAGGGAAAUAGUGGCGUUGUGUUA
rnacentral:lncRNA from 1 species